UCUGAAUGAGCUUCAACUAAG
rnacentral:piRNA from 1 species